GGGCCCAUAGCUCAACGGUAGAGCAUCCGGCUCAUAACCGGCUGGUUCUAGGUUCGAAUCCUAGUGGGCCCACCA
rnacentral:tRNA from 8 species